UUCCCAUCCACCACCACAGCAUCAUGUCUUGCUGCAGCUACUGGCAUAUCCUGUCCAACCCCAUCCCCCAAUAUGACUGCAUUACAAACAAGGCUAGAAAGGCAACAACUAAAUUUAAGGACCGCACUGAAGAUGAGCAGGGAAAAAAAAAUACCCAUCACCAAACAAACAAAGAAAGGACACACACUCUCAGGAAGAGCAGCAUACAGACCACAAAGGGCAUUCCUGGAAGGACCUCCACAUAGAGAUGGCGCCAUUUCAGCCUGUGCAAACGCAGAACAUGUGGCUGAAACAACUCUGCUGCAGAGACGAGCUGGGACUCCCUGCACCGUGUCUCCAGCACAAGUCCCCACUGUCACAUCAAGGUGGCCAGCAAAGUGCUGCAGGAUCCUGAAAUCAGUCCAUCAGCAGUGAGUACCAUUAUCUGAUUAGGCCAUCACUGACAGCCAGGAUUACCAUCCCCUCCGCAGCAAACAGCCACAGCUCCUGGGAGUUUAUGCAGAACUGAUGAGCCCACAGCAGGGACAGGUCAUUGAAUCUUUUCCUUGCCAACUCUCCGCCAAGUGGAAUCCCCAUGCAGCAUUCACAGUGUCACCCAGUGGCCAUCCUAAAAGCUCUCCAGAGUGAAGCGCCCAAGGAGGGCCUGCAGCCAGGUUGAAGUUGGUCAUGUUCUUCCCAAGCACCUCCGAAAGUGACAGAGAAAUUAUGCGUUAUUCCUGGGCUGCCAAGUC